GACUGAAGGGCGGAGCCAGGGGGCAGGUAAGCCAGGAAGGGGCUUUUAAGGAGGAGCAGGAGGCCAGUAAAACAUAACCUGUUUUUUCUUUCAUCGCACCGGAAGGAGAAACCGAGAGGAGGAGGAGAGUUGGAUCCAAUGGAGAAAGGAGAGAGAGCAGAAGGGAGAGGAGGAAGUAGGACCUUCAAGACGGCAAGAAGGAAGGGAGAGGGCUUCAUCCAGUACAGAAGGGCAGUCUUCACAGAACGGCGACAGGACCAAGGUGCCUACACGGAAGACUACUAUGGCUCGUGACCCCCUCUUAGAAGAAUUGUGUGAAAGGGCAGUAUCCGAAAAGACUCUUUCCAGCUACAAAAGGGCCUGGAAGAGAUGGCAGAUAUUCUGCAGAAGCGGUAAGAGCAAUCAAGGCACUAAGGAUUUGGUGUCAUUUUUAAUGGUCCUGUACAGAGAAGCAAAGUCAAGAGCAGGAGCCAGCAACGCAUUAGCCGCAAUUUCUCAUUUUUCCAUAGUAAAGGGUAGAGCAGAUAUCACACAUGAUCCAUUAGUUAGGAAAAUAAUGAAGGGAUGGGCAAGAGUUGAAGGCCCCAGGGUCGAUAAGCGAGAACCCAUAAUUGAAUGCAGACUAAAAAUGAUUCUGAACUCUCUUGAGGAGGUGUGUUCAGACCAAUUUGAAUGUAUUUUGUUUAGAGCAGCCUUCGCUCUGGCUUUCGGAGGAGCAUUUAGGAUAAGCGAAUUGGUCCCCCCAUCCAAGAAGGUAACAGAUAAAGGUUUAAUGUAUAGCCAGGUUUUAUUACAGGACAGGAAGUUGUUAGUUUACAUCAGUAGAUCAAAAACAGAUCAGUUGGGUAAGGGCAGAUGGUUCAGUAUAGAAAAAACUUCGAGAAUAACAUGCCCGGUCAAGGCCUUGCAGGAUUACAUAGGGAUGCGCCCAGCAGGGGGCACCUUUUGUUAAUUCACAGGGACUUAUCCCCCAUGUCAGCAUUUCAAUUUAGGCAAGUGCUCAAAAAGGCAGUCAUUGCGAAAGGAUGGGAUCCUAAAAAAUUUGGAUCACAUUCAUUCAGGAUAGGGGCAGCAACAGAAGCAGCAAUGAGGGGAGAAACAGAGGAUAGGAUAAAAGGAAUUGGGAGGUGGAAAUCAAAAGCAUACAAAAAAUACAUACGCCCCAUAAAUGUAACACAGUAGUAAUCCUACAAUUUUUAACCUACCCCCCCCCCUUUUUUCUUUGGUUUGUUGCUGCAGGGGGAAAAGCUACCUGCAACAUUUUGAUCAUAGGCCACUCCUUUAUUUUUUGGGCAAGACAGCAUGCAGCAGGCAAGCAGUUGGGGUUACCGGAGGAACACAUGAAGAUUACAUGGCAGGGGUGGAGAGGCAUGAAGUGGGAACAAAUGAGAGGCCGGUUGUAUAGUUCAAUACAGAAGUUCAAGUUCAUAAACCUGGUGAUAGUACAUGCUGGGGGAAAUGACCUUACGUCAAUCAAAACCCCAGCGUUGAUAGAAAGCAUGAGAAAGGACUUGGAGGAUUUAAUGUCCAGCAACAAGAUAGGGGGAGUGGCUUGGUCAGACAUCAUACAGAGAGGAGAAUGGCGAGGAGCAGUUUCCCCCCAGGGCAUUGAAAGAGCCAGGAAAAA